rnacentral:rRNA from 1 species
GGCGGCGUGCUUAACACAUGCAAGUGGUGCGACGAACCAGGGCUUGCCCUGGGGCAAAGCCGCGAACGGGUGAGUAACACGUGAGUAAUCUGCCCCGAUGACUGGGACAACCCGAGGAAACUCGGGCUAAUACCGGAUGAUGAGCCAGGGUUUAAGCCCUGUCUCUAAAGGAAGCUUCGGCCUCCGCAUUGGGAGGAGCUCGCGGCCCAUUAGCUUGUUGGUGAGGUAACGGCUCACCAAGGCGACGAUGGGUAGCUGGUCUGAGAGGACGAUCAGCCACACUGGGACUGAGACACGGCCCAGACUCCUACGGGAGGCAGCAGUGGGGAAUCUUGCGCAAUGCGCGAAAGCGUGACGCAGCAACGCCGCGUGGGGGAAGACGGCCUUAGGGUUGUAAACCCCUUUCAGGAGGGAUGAAGGUUCACCGGUUAAUAGCCGUGUGGAUUGACGGUACCUCCACAAGAAGCACCGGCUAACUACGUGCCAGCAGCCGCGGUAAUACGUAGGGUGCAAGCGUUGUCCGGAAUCAUUGGGCGU